AUCCAGCUGACGAGUCCCAAAUAGGAAGAAACGCGUGUUCUGGAU
rfam:Schistosoma margrebowiei strain Zambia genome assembly, scaffold: SMRZ_contig0000392